GGAUUUCUAGCUGGAGAUCACUCCUCUCGGAGCUCCUCUGUGAGUCCAGGACAUAGACUAAUGGUAGAAGCGAGAGGAAGCACCAUAAAUUUCUACCAAACACUAGAAGAUGAUGACUGUGCCAUGAGACACAAAGGACCUGAUCAAAGAUGAAACAAAGCUCACUCAUCUCUGGGCCCUGCUAACAAUGCAAGGCAAAAAACUCUUACUAUCCCAAAGACCCUUUGUUGAGCACACCACUGAUGAAUCAUCAAAUAUCCAAUGUGGAACCCUGCAGGUAGUGAUAAGAAUGAUGUUCCUACUAACAAAGUCCAGUUUUAUACAAGCAGUGUUACCUUCCCUCUGGUCUCAGGGGUCAGGAAUUCCUAAAGACGAGUAUUACCAGGAAAGACUGAGAAAGCAUCAGUUUGUGAGCUCUUCUCUGUGAAUUUUCCCUUGUAGCAAACUGGGGAGAAUUUUCUUGCUCUUCUCAAAACUCACUGGCCCUGACGUGUGAUACCUGUGGGCUAGAGUAUCAUCUGGUCUACUUGGAAUGAAUCUAUACCUGUUUUGCAAAGUGGAAGGCUGCACUGGAGUUCUCAAAACAACUUUACAUGUGUCAUUUGUCAAGGACAAAAACCAGCAAUCUCCAAGAAGAUGAUAAAGGAAAGUUGAAAGUUAAUUCUAUUGCUUUGUCUCUGUCUGAACUGUACCUACUCUGUUUAUAUCCAAAACUGUGCUGAAUCUUACAGACGUUGCUAUCUUAUACAGGGUAUGAGGAUUCUGGGGAGCCAGGUUUGCAAUGUUAUGACCCCACAGAUGAAAAAUUCACUUCAUCUUUAUUCCAGAUAAAUUCACUUCAUCUUUAUUCCAGAAAACCAAACUGAGUGUGAUAUAUAGCUUUCAAAAACACUAACAUUACAUUUCAACUACUGUUUGUGUUACCAGUUGCGUGGACUUCUUAUUUAUUGUCUCUUUUGAUACUAUUGGGAAGGAACCACUCUUUAUCUCUGGCUUGUCCUAAACUUUGAGCUCAGGGAGCUGGGGCCGUACCUUCUUGACUUGUAUAUACACAUUUCAGUCCAUGGAUGAAUGCUCUGUAACAGUCAGAACAAUUACAAAACGGAGCAGAAGAGGGCUAAAUUCUCACUUUCUGUCACACAGAAUACAAUCUGACUUUGCUGACUUAGUGCCUUUCAGAAGUGUUGUCUAUAGAGUGUUUCCUGACCAGUGACUAGGAUCCCUGCCUCAUUCGUAAUUUUAUUCUUGCUUCUUAUAUCCCAGUACUGUGGGGAUUUGGAGAUGUAGACAUGCUAUUUAGUCAUGCACCACCAGAUUAAAGGUUCCAAAGGGGGAAUAGAAAACUUUUUCCUUUUACGUACGGUCUAGCUCUUAAAACAUGUAAAAAUACAGGAAGAAGGUCUAAAUAUUUCAAGAAUCCAUGAAGGAAAAGGAAGCAAUCCAAAUUUAUCUGCUGUCAGAAUGUCAGCAAAUAACAGAAAGUCUCUAUGCCUACAUUUUCCUACCUCUGACUCUCUAACCUAUUGAAAAGAGUAGUGAUACAACUUGAAACAUCAUCUUAGAAACAAGUCCUGACUGGAGAUUAAACUCACGAUGUUAUUAAGAUGAAACUGAGCAACAGCAGAACUCUAAAAUGAGGCUCUUUGAGGAAAAAAAAAAAAAAAAAAAAAAAAAAGAAAAAAGAUGAACUAGUAAAACGAUGGCAUUAUUUCUGAAGUUCCCACUAAAAAAUCCCAAAAUAAAUAGGAAUAAAAAACCACAAGAACCAAACAAUAGCAACAAAAAAACUUCCCAAACCACCUAGUGAAGAUGCUAAAAAUAAACAUAGAAGAGUUUUGAGAUUAAUGUUUCCAGCUGAGGGAAUACCUGGGGAGAAACAGUUGAAAGUUGUUGCCUGAAACAUAUGCAGUUAUUUGUGCAGAUUACAAAAAAAAUAAAAAUAAAAAUAAAAAAAAUAAUAAAAAAAUUGGGGGUCUGUGGUAGGCUAUGGAUUUCACCACUCAGAGAGCUUAUUUGUAAUGUAACUUCUGAAUGCCCUAUUUGCAAUGCUGAGGAAAUGAUCUUUAUUAUCUUUAAAUUGAUUUAGUGACUGAUACAGUGGUUGGAAACUCUGACUGUGGCAUGGGGGUUAGAACUAGAUGAUCUUUGAGGUCCCUUCCAACCCAAGCCAUUCUUUGAUUCGAUGAAUCUAUGAUUAUGAAAACAGGACAUUCAGGAUUCUUCUGAACUAGUGAAUAAGGUUGGAUUAGAGAACUAGUUAAGAAGAUGAAUCACCAUACUUUGAGGGUCCAGUUUUCUCCAGACCUAAAACUACUUAGAUCUAGAAAAUUCUUUUGCCUUAAAUGGGAUUCAAUUGGUGUGAAAGAAGUCAUUGUUUCACUUAAAGUAAAACUAGAUGUUCAAUAGUUGAAAUGAUCUUAUGAAUGGUACUAAGUCCUACUACCAUCUCAAAGACAUACACCAAUGCUUUUGUGUCUGUUAAGCAUUACAAUAGGCCACAAUCGAAACCUGGUGUUCACACAUUGGUAUUUUUGUAUUUGCAUGUCACGUGUCUAGGUGUCCAGUGGGAUCACAGCUGUCACGCAGAAUGAGAGCAUCAGAGAUGAUUUAGGUUUAGGUUGGAUUUGUUCUACUCCUACUCCCACUGUGGUGUACUUUGGAAGAUAUAUGCUAGUCAAGUUCCUGUACGUUGUAAGAAACUGCAAAUUCUUCUUCUCAGUAGACUUGGAUGAAGAUCUAAUUGGGCAUGAUAUUAUUCAGUAGGAGCAAGUGUGGCAGAAUCUGUCCCUGAAAUGUUUUAAGGACACUGUGUCCUUCCCCCCCCCCCCCCCUUUUUUUUUUUUCCCUCCUUUUGAGAAGUGCAACAGAACCAGGGGAAUUACGAGGCUGAUAAUCAUCAGCCUUGUGAGUGAUUGAGACAUCAGCUCACUAACUAGAACUCCUUACACUUGUUCUGUGUUUUGUUCUUGUGCUCACAGUUCUGUGAAGUGUUUGAUAUAUUCUGUUGAAUGGAAGGAUGAAAUGGUGUAGUGACUGUGAUUACCAUUAAGAGUAAUUAAAUUACACUCUGAGACCUCUAGCAGUAAUCAUCUUCUCAAAAAUCCCCUUUCCUGAUAAUUAAGGGCCCACUGGAGUCAGUGUCAUUACUCUUAGUGAUUUAUAUAGGAACAGAGCAGGCCCCUUGUUUUCUUUUCUAGGAGGUUCCCUUUCCCACCGGCUCUAUGCAGAUGCAGCAAAGUGUGGGGAGCAGUCUAGGGAAAAUAUAAGGCUAAGAAAUUGGUUGUUCCUCCCUGAUUCAGAGCUGAUAAGCUAAUUAAUCUGGCAGAGUGGCCUACGGAGAACUGUAUUUUAUAACAUAGGAAGAAAUAAUUUUACAGAAUUUACAUCUUGAGUAGCAGAAGCAUAUCUCAGCUCCCCUUUCUUUCAUCCACAUAUUGCCUACAGGAUUCCCAGGGCUUUUCACUGGCACUUCAGGCAUAUGGAAGGAGAUAAAACACCUUCUCACAGGUUCCUGCUAGUGUUGUAUUUUUCAAGGCAGAAAUCUGCAUUAAAGUUCUCUGGAUGCUCUUAGCCUAUAUUGUAUCAAUUAUAUGUACAAGAGGUAGAAGAAUAUCAGCAGAUUUAUAAAUCCAGGAAAUUAAGGUUUUUACUGCAAUCUUUUUUCAAGAUUUUAUUUUAUUCUUUCUCUGUUUAAACAUGGAUAUUCGAUGGAUUUUUUAUAAAAAAAAGUUUCAAUGGACAAAGGUAAAAGUGGCAUAUCAUGUCCUGGUUGUGAACAGCCAUGAGAGGUGAUGUGUACUUCACAUUACUCUAUCAAAUCUGGGAUUUUUCUCUCCCAUUCCUGUGUCUCACUUCAGUGCUGCUUUAGUUUUUCCGUUUUGAAUUUCUCAGAGUGGUCAGCAGUUGCUUAAAUAAAAAUGCUUGAGGUAUGAUUCACUGAGCCAUCACCAACAACUGGCAUCAAAACAUGCUUUUUCCUCAUGAUGGACGCUUCAAUCUUGAUCUUUCUGCCCAUCCCACAGCCUCUCUGGUCCUGUGCCUUCCUACAGUGCAGAGCCUUCCUCUUCUGGCAAUCAGAUACGCAUCUCACCAUGUUGUUUAUCUGCCUGAGCUGGUUACCCUUCUGGUCUCAUUCACUUUGCACCCUCCCUCUUCCUCAGCUCUUGAUUGCCUUUUCUACUUCUGCAGCUUGUGCUGAGGUGUAGUCAUGUGGAGAAAAAGGCACACCUGGAGGCUGUUUCUGCCCCUUGUUCUUGGCUGGAACUGUGCUGUUACAAGUGGUACCUGAGGCUGCCAAGGUGGUUAUCCAGGAACAUAAGGGUAAACAGGGCCGUGUCAGAAGGCACAGCAUGAAGUAUCUGAUCCCAGAGAAGCCGUGGUGCCCCAUCCCUGGCUCAAGGCCAGGUUGGAUGGGGCCCUGGGCAGCCUGAGGUGGUGGGGGGCAGCCCUGCCCAUGGCAGGGGUUGGGACUGGGUAGGCUUUGAGGUCCCUUCUAACCCAAACCAUUCUAUGAUUCCACCUCCCAGUUUCCAACAUCUCUACUAUUAAGGGGUUUCCAGUAGUGUGGAAGAGUGACAGCAGAACUUCCUCUUUCUUUUCUGUGUUUAUAAGCUCUUGUCACGUGCCCAGGGUUUCCCAACUCCAAUCCUGCAGCCAUGGGACUGGGAGACUGGAUUUAGCAGGGCACCACAGCAAAAUUCCUGACUGUAUACCAGCAGUGAUGGGAACAAGGGAUAUAGCUGUUAUAGCUGCAUAAGAUAAAACAAAACAAAACCAAAGCUCUUUCUGUGCCAGACAAAUGUCACAGAGAUCACGUUUUUUGUUUUGUUUUGUUUUGUUUUUUUAACUGCUGUAUGACUGUACUAUCCCGCCAUAGUAUAAAACAAAUAUCCCUGUGGGCCUGUGAAUCAACCUUGCCCUUAUUUUAAUAUAAGGGUUUGUAUGUGAGUAUAAUAACUUGUCCUUGACUGAAGGAGCUCUCUGAUUUUUCUUGCUCUUUGUUACAUUUAUUUUUUUGUGGUACACUUGCUGCUAUUUUAAUACCUUUAUUUGGCUGAAAAUUCUUUUUUAGCAGUGUGCUGAAUUCAACCUAAUAGCAGUGAGAGCCCUAGGCAGAAGAUACCAAUUUUAUGGUUGUAUGGUAGGCUUAUGACACCCGAGUAAAAUUUCCUUAUUUGCUAUUGCUAGUAUCACACACUGCUUCAACUGAGCAAAAGUAGUUUAGAUGUUCAUUGUGAAGUCUUAUUAAUAAGACCUUCUUGCAUCUGAGCCAUUGCAAAUCAAAAGGUUAUCAGCAGGAGAUAAAAGGAAAUAUCAGAAAGGGGUGCUCUUAAGAAAGUUCUGUCAGAUUAUAGGAAUUUUUAUCAAUAAGAAAACAGAGCACACAUUUGGCAGAUUACUAGAUUUUUUUCCCUAUGUUCAAAAGUUUUUAUUAAAAAUAAUAAAAAUAAGCCUGAAGACAAACAGCAAGGAGAGUGCUCUUCUUUCCCAGUGGAGAUAGUUCAGCUUUUGAUUAUCAUUUUUCAAAUACUGUUAGCCAUAAGAAAGCUAUGGAGAAAACAGAGUCUGGUGACUACAUGCAGUGAUUAAUAUAAUUAUCUGCAGAACUAGGCCCCAGAUAUGUCUCUUGUUUCCAUCUUGUGGGCACUGUUGGUUUAUGAAAGCUAUCAUGUGUGGGUUUCUCCUCCAAGUGUGUACUAGGACCAUGGAAUUGUAUAGGAUGUAAGGGACCUCUGGAGGUCAUUUAAUCUAAUGUCCUGUUCAAAAUCUGGUACAGGCUAGAUCUGGUUGCCCAAGGCCUUAACUAGGCAAACUCUGAGUAUCUUCAGAGAUGGAAAUCUCACAACCAUUAUGAAAGAACCUGUUAUAGAUUUUGACUACAAUUUCUGUUAAAAGAUUUUUUUUUUCUGACAUCCAAUCAUAAUUCCUCUUCUUGCAAGCAGUGUCUCUUGUCCUUUGUCUUUUUCACUAUGAAUCUUCAUGAAGAGAUGAGUCUUGUUCUUGUAGCCUCCCACUAGCCAAUUGAAGAUAUGGUCUGGCCCCCCUCCACAUUUUUAGUCCCUCACCCCAACACUGAACGAAUGCAGUUCUGUCAACCUCUCCUUUACGUUUCUGUAGACAAUGACAUAAAAAAUAAAAGAAAGUGAUUUUGGAAAUAUGUGGUGGAAGAGAGAAAGGUCAUUGAUGGGCUGUCCAAUAUAAGAUCAGAUAUAUCCUUAACAUAUGUUAACAUAUAUCCUUGGCACUAGAAAUGUCAAUAUGUAUUGAGUGCAGGUUUAAUUUCUCAUUUGUUAAAAGUCUGUAGAAAAGAGAAGGGCUCUUUAGCCACAGUGCAGUCCAAAUGGAGUACAGAUUUUCAUGUCUCCUAGUUUGCGUUCACAUCUUCCAGGUACAAUGACAAGGGAGAAUUAAUAAAUCACAUUAAUAGUAUUCUGCUCUCAACAGCUUUCCACCUAACAGAACCAGUGAAGCAUCUCCUCUUAUUUUGUCUUCUCAAAAAUCCUUCAUAGACAUCUUUCUUCUGCAGAAGUGUUUGGAUAUGUAUGCAGCUUGGUAGCUGAUUUUUGUCAUCAUGAUAUACAGAAGAUUUGAACUCCUUAAUAUGUGAUGAGGCUAUCAGUUCCCACAGUCGCAGCUGUUUUAUGUAUCAGUAUUGCGCUGCAAGCAGAUAACUAUUUUGAUCUUUAGACACAAAUUGGAAUAUUUUUACUCUACAUAUUUUAAAGUAUUCCAAACAAGUGAAUAUUUAUGUUUUGAAUUAUUCUCCCCACAGACAUCAGUCUAUAUAUUUAAAAUCUAACCUCUUUUUUUUUUUUUUCCAUGUCUCAAUCUUCUAGAUUCCUUUUCCCUCUAUUUCAUUAGUGAUUUGAAUAGUACUUGCAGCAUGCUAUUGACUCUUUCAUCAAGUUAUGGAAAAUGUCAGUUGGGCAGUUUUUCUUGUACUCAGCAAGAAUAUCCCUCAGCAUUAUGCUGGUCUAUAAUGACAUCCUGACAAUAUUUCUCCUCUCUGCUUAUAGCCCUUCACUGAGUUCAUUAUUGCUCUAGCUUGCCAUUCCAUGUAAAACAAACUACAAUACAUUUCACUCUUCAAAUAAACUAUUAACCUGUAUUCUUAGAGAGAGAAACUUUUCAAGUUGUGUCCUACAGGAACCUAUAUAGAUUGAGAAUAGCAUAUCAGUAGAAAUGAGCUCAUAAAAGUAUAAGGAAAUAUUACCAAGAAGUUAGGAAUUAACGUUAAAGCAUUACAUUGCCUCUCCAGAUUGAUGCAGCUAUAUCACACUUAAAAUGUCAGUACAGCAUAUGCAGACAUCAUCUUCAAACUUGCUAAUACAUAUAUACAUGUAUAUAUAAAAUUAUGUUUAUAUGUUCAGCCAUUUCUAUCUUUGCUCUGAAUAAUUUUGAGAAAGUGUGAUUUUCUGUGGUAUGAUGAAUACCUUUUCAAAUUAAGAGACCGUAAAAAAAAGUAGAUUCGCCAAAGAAGGGCCAUCAAAUGAUACCCAGACAAAAUGGUGAAUGACUGCAUUUCUUUGUGCAUGGUUACUUCUUUUCCCUUUUUUCAAGAUACCUUGCUGUUUGUUUAAAAAUCCUACUCAAAGAGUUUUUCUGGUAAACGGGCAGAAAUAGCCAUACUGGAUUGGACAGAAGAUGCCUUAGGGCUAAGUCUUUAUUGUCUUUUGAGGUAAGCUUUAAAGCUACCUUACAGUGUGCUAUUCCACAUGGACUCAUUCAUGCUCAGCCACAGGCACCUCACACAUCAGUCUUUCUGGGACAUGCAGUCAGACUAUUAGCAUGCCUCUGGGUCCUGCACUACUCUCUAAUUUAGAACAGGCUUUGGGAUCUAAAGAUGUGUAAAGCAGUUGGUAUCCCAUCUCUUGCGCAGUUGGGUGUUAGAUGCUUCAAAGGAAGGUUCCUAACUACUAACGGUGAAGAAUUUUGAAAUCAGUUAGAAUCAUAGAAUCAUUGAAUAACUUAGGUUGAAGGAGACCUUUGGAUGUCAUCUAAUUCAGUCCAUUGCUCAAAGAGGGUCUAAUUAUAUCAGUUUGCUCAGGAAGGUUUCUAAUCAAGUAUUCAACAGCUCCAAGGCUGGAGAUCCCAAAAGCUGUCUGAACACAUGUUCCAGUGUUUGACUACCCUUAUAAUGAAAAUAUUUUCCUUAUAUCUAAUUGGAAUUUCCUGUGUUCCAAAUUGUGCCCACAGCCUUUUUCCCCCUACUGUUCUGCACAUCUGUUAGGAAUUUUGCUCAGCCUGGCUCCACCUGCUCUGAAUCUUCUGUUCAGGGACUGAACUGAGGCUGGUUGGCCUUUAAGUGACCUGGAUCCUUAUGCCUGCGAUUCCUGAAGAUGGAUGAAGACCUGCUACAAAUGUUAUUGACCUUAAGUCAGAAUUCUGAAAUGCUGAAGAUUUACAACAAUCAGCUUCACUCAUUAAAUGCUUUGAACGUGCCACGAACCACAGCCUGGACCUCAACAGUUUCCCCAGUUACCCCAGCAUACCCAUAUUAUGCUGACACUCAAAUGUUGGACUACAGGAUGCCUGCGAUGCCGUGAUCUGCAAAAAUUUCCUAUUUCUUCUCCUUUAUUGGCGGAAUCACACAGCUCUCCUUUCCAGCCUCUGCAGUCUGAUAUGUGCAUGAGAGAACAAGCAGAACAUUUUCUCUGCUUCAGAAACAGCAUGGUGUUUCCAUGCAGUGUAAUAUCACUGGAGACCUGAAGUCAAGUGGAAGAACAGUCAUCUGUGAUUUCUGUGGAAAGAAGAGAUGAAGAAAUGAGCUUGCUAGAGCACACGUGCGGGUGCAGCAUCCUUCAACAAGCAUUUGUUGAAUGAGCAUAUGUUUUGUCAGUAAAGCCUUCCAGACCGAAUAUUUUUAAAGCAGACACAUACUGUCUAUUUCUUUAAUUACUUAAUAUUUUAAAAAAUAUUUCAAUAAAGUAUUUCAAAUCA